AGUGAACGCUGGCGGUAGGCCUAACACAUGCAAGUCGAACGGCAGCACAGUAAGAGCUUGCUCUUACGGGAGGCGAGUGGCGGACGGGUGAGGAAUACAUCGGAAUCUACUUUUUCGUGGGGGAUAACGUAGGGAAACUUACGCUAAUACCGCAUACGACCUACGGGUGAAAGCAGGGGAUCUUCGGACCUUGCGCGAUUGAAUGAGCCGAUGUCGGAUUAGCUAGUUGGCGGGGUAAAGGCCCACCAAGGCGACGAUCCGUAGCUGGUCUGAGAGGAUGAUCAGCCACACUGGAUCUGAGACACGGUCCAGACUCCUACGGGAGGCAGCAGUGGGGAAUAUUGGACAAGGGGGGCAAGCCUGAUCCAGGCAUACCGCGUGGGCGAAGAAGGCCUUCGGGUUGUAAAGCCCUGUUGUUGUGAAAGAAAAGCAGCAGGUUAAUACCCCGCUGUUCUGACGGUACCAAAAGAAUAAGCACCGGCUAACUUCGUG
rnacentral:rRNA from 1 species